GUCUCUUGCUUGCCAAAGGAGGGUCAGUCAGGGCUAUCUCACCCAUUAAUUCACCAGCUUUGUCUAAAUGAGAAUUAUAUAUGCCCCUUCUUCAUAUAUUGCUGGUCUCUUAAUUAUGAUUGCCGUAGAGACAGUGCUCCUCAGUUUUCAUGUACAAAAAAAUAAUGAUAUCCCCGUGCACAAACCAUAUGAAAGGCUAGCCUUUUCACCAUCACUUCAUAUGCCACAAAGAACACACUUUUUAUUGCACUACAUGAAGAAUAUAGACACUACUUGAGGAGGACUUUCAAAUCACUGAAAUGCCCUUGUAUUCUCUGGAUGGCUGGCGUAAUCUUGGGAUCUGCUGUGAUUGGCUUUCGUCAUGCUCUCAAAUGGAAAAAUAAAUUUGCAUAAAUGUUCUUGUAUGUGCAAGGAAUAUCCAGCUUCACUCUGCAUGGGAAAAACACUAUAAGAUCAUCUUUACCAGAAUUAUCAACGUUAGUAACCAGGAAAACAACUUUAAAAAUGGGAAAAUUCAAAUGCUUGCUUCCAGUCUGAGGUUAGCAGCCCCCACCUAAGAUGAGGCUGAUAAGAUACAAUCUAUACAACGUAUCUUACACAAGAUUGUGAAAAAAGUUAGUUCAUAUCAUCCAUACCAAACAGGAAAAGCAUGCACCAAGUGCAUUAACGUUUAAACUCCCCACUGAAUAUAGAGAUGUCACAAAUUUCAGUAACAAAAUCUAUAUUCACAGAGUAUUUGAGAACAUAAAAUCAUCACAUUAAAGACUUGUAAAUCUGGAAAAACAUAGGCAACAUACAUGCAACAACCUUUAGAAAUUCCCACCAAAAUAGUGUCAGUUUGGUGGAAGCCGAUGAAAACUAGACAAAAACUACAUUUGCAGGCUUUGUGAUGAUCCAAUUAUACAGAGUCUGAGGCCAUGUACACAUCAACCAGCCAAAUUCAUUCACAUAUAACUGACAAUUCAAGUUUUUUAUGUAAAGCAAAGACAACCAGAAUCUCCAGAUGAAUAUAUAGGAGAAUGCGAAUUCAUGAAAACCAUAACUAAAUUAAAUCAGAUCAACUAAUUCGUGGAAACCUUAUUACAUGUUUGAAGAUUCCCUCCAAUUGUUAAUUGCAGCCAACACUUUCGGUAGUAUAGAAAUUCAUUGAGUCUUUGCCUAUGUGAAAUAGGCAAAUCAUAACAACAGUAUCUAUAAAUAAUCAGACCGAUGUAGAAUAUUAUCACAAAAUUAGGUAUUAUUAUGAAAUCGCAUUAUUAACUUUAUUCUUCUAGUUAGAAGCUUGGCCAUCACAAAACGUGGCGACCAAGUUUGUUUAGGCCUAUAUAAAGGCUUUUAUUUCUCUUGUUGAAAAUAUAUACAACAAAACUAAUUCUCCUACAACUAUCCUAAACAACAGCAAAUGAACAUGGGUUGAGAAUAUUAUAUAUAUAUAUAUAUAUACACACACACACACACACACACACAAACACAACAAAAUCAGAAUAGAAGUGCUCCUCUUUAUUCAACAGUCACUAGUCCAUUUUAAAAAAAUAACAGGAAUUUGCUAUACGUAUGUUUCUGAGAAAGUAGAAGGAUUAGAGCUUAGAAGCAAAAUCUCUUAUUGAUAGUUGCAGUUUUGUUAAUAAAAAUCGCUUGUACUGAGCAAGGAGCUAUAUGAAUAACACUUUAAAGUUGAUACAAACAGGACAUAUCCAAUUACUAAAUGUUACUCGAGGAAAGUUGAGGCUCAAAUUCAAUACCUCAGUACAUGUAUGAUUUUUAAUGCCUAACAUGCUUUAUGCCAUAUACAGAAUUAAACUAAUCCUUUCAUUGCAGAAUAUACGUGCGAAGGUCCGAUCUCAGGUUGGUCCAAAAGAGGUGAACCUACAAAACGAAGAAGACCACAAAUAUCCUCGGCGGCGGAUACGUCCCCUCUGAGAGUAAGUGCCGGAAAGAGGAGUAGGAAAGAUAUGCAAAGGAGGUAUUGAGGUUUUAGAGAGAGAAUUUGGGAAAUUAGAAGUUACCUUCUCUGGCAAUGACGUGGAGUCUCUUCAUUGGCUUGGGUUGUAACCUCACAUGUAUGGAGGGUACUUGCUUGGGGAAGAGGUAGGUAACUACCUUCUGACAAGUUGAUAGUGACGUGAAGCAUUCUGCUUUUAGGGGACCACAACUAAGGGUCGGUAUUAUUAAAGGGUUUCGCACUUAUGCUGAAGGGGUUUAGCCUUUGUGCGUCGCCGCUUCCAUCGAAGGUAUCAUGUCAAUAGAAUAGGGCGACUCUUAUUGUCGUUAUUGUGGCAAAAGGCUUUACUUUUAUGUUUGGAUCGGGUGGACCUGAUCCGCCGGUGCGACAGCCGAAGGUGUCGUUGUAGGUAUGAGUCCUUCUACAGGGACAGGAUUAUUGGACAUGAUUAUUAGACAUUUUCAAUUUUUUUUUUUUUUACUUGUGACUCAAAAAANNNNNNNNNNNNNNNNNNNNNNNNNNNNNNNNNNNNNNNNNNNNNNNNNNNNNNNNNNNNNNNNNNNNNNNNNNNNNNNNNNNNNNNNNNNNNNNNNNNNUUUACAGAAUACAGUGUUUUUAGGUGUAAUUUGGAAUGUUUACAAAUUACACAUAAAAACACUGUAUUAUGUAAAAAUUUCAGUUGGAAUAAAUUCUAUACAUUUUUUUGGAAGUCACAAGAAAAGCAAAAAAUAAAAAUAAAAUGGGACCGGUCCAAUUUUCCGGUCCAUUGGACCUGUCUGCCAAGACUUAUUCUCUGGGUAUAUCCUAACAAUAAUGUUAUACAGUCGCUUGUUGUUUGUCAUGUAGACACAAUCUUAGUGUAGGAUAUAAAUCAGUUUUUCUAUUCUUUUUGGAAGACAAGUUAUCGAUGGAUCUAAGGGCCAGCAGACUGGUGAGAUAGCAGGCAUGUCUUGUAAGCAGUCAUACUGGAUUUUCAUGAGAUAUCAUUGUGGAUGCAAAUCUUAUCAUGGUAGCUGCAUUUAAAAAAAGAUGCCUAUAUUUGUAGUGUUCUAAAAAUCCCCGCCUAGGCCCCCUGGCGCUUGAUCUAGGCCUAAGGCGGCAAAAAAAUUCCUCCAGAAAAUUAAGCGGGGUCUAGGCAGAAUUUUUUUUUUAUUUUAAUAACUACUCAAACCAGAUCUUGAUAUAUUUAUUUUUCUAAUGAUUUAUCAUAUUCAUAAUACAAGUUGUAACAUAUCAAAUCACAACAAGAAGUGAACAAUAUCAAAUUAAAAUAGAUAAUUUUAUUAUAGUUGUAAUUUUUUGAACUUGUACCAACUUCAAAUUAUAUAAAUGAUGAUACAUUUGUAAUAUUUAGUUUAAUUCAAUAUAAUUCUUAAAUUUAUGUUUAGUUUCUUAAGUUUUAAUAUUAAAUUAAAUUCUUGAAAUUUUAAAUUUUAUUAUUUAGUAGCAAUCUUGUUUAUGAAUAAAACUAAUACAUUAAAAAUAUGGUUGAACUUUGAACAAUUGCAUGUUUAUGUUUGAACUUUGACAUUAGCAAUAUGAAUGUGUUUGAAAUGUAAGCAAAAGCCUUUAUUAUAGAUUGUUUUGUUUUAUAUUAUUGUUUUGUUUGGAUAAAUGUAAGAUAAAAUAUUAAAAUUGGCUUAAAAUAAAAAAUUCUGCCUAGGCCCCCGUCCGCCCUCCUAGCGCCUUUUAGAACAUUGCAUAUUUGUAGGAGUGGACUGUCACAUUCAAUAACUAUAAUAUAUAAUUAGUUUCAAUGACAAACAAAAUCAACGAAAGGAUUAUAAGAAGGAAAAAUUAGAAAAAAGUAAAACCCUAGUAUACUAGUCACUUGCCAGUUGCCAUGCCUGCAGAUAGCUAAUAUAUGUGUUGUUAAGCAUUUCCAAUGACUUUUGAAAUGCUUUAAUCAAUCAGUAUCUGAGUUAUGUUUCAGAUGGGUUUUUAUAUAUCAUUAAAUAAGUACUUAUCCUUGUCAAAUUCCUUUUAGUUUUCACUAAUUGAGCACAACCCUUUUUGGGCUAAUAACAUGGCAAUGUGUGAAUUGUACAUGUCCGAUUCUUAUAUUUAGUAUAGCCUAUAUAUAAAAUUAUAAACUAAUAAAAGGACAGAAUACCCAAAUCAAAAGACAAUUACUACGUGUUUAGACUUUGACAAAGUGCAGUUUGUAUUCGAUGCCUCAACCAUUCUAACAGGUAUAUUUAAUCAUAUACUUGAAACUAAAGUAAAAACUGAGCUUUUACUUGCCUGGAAAAAAACACGGCAAUAUUGGAGAAGCCGAGAAGGCGUGAGCGACCACCGGAGAGAUUUGGUUUUGCGGGAAAUUGAUGGGUAUAUAUCAUAUAUUUGUCCAUCCGAUUUGACGGGAGUCCAAAAAGGUAAUUCUGGAUUGGGAAUAUAUUCUGCUAUUUGAGUUAGGGCCGAAGGGAAUGUUAUUAAACUGUUUGGGCCGAAG
rnacentral:lncRNA from 1 species